AAACCAACCGGGAUUGCCUUAGUAACGGCGAGUGAAGCGGCAAAAGCUCAAAUUUGAAAUCUGGCGUCUUCGACGUCCGAGUUGUAAUUUGAAGAAGGCAACUUUGUAGCUGGUCCUUGUCUAUGUUCCUUGGAACAGGACGUCAUAGAGGGUGAGAAUCCCGUGUGGCGAGGAUCCCAGUUAUUUGUAAAGUGCUUUCGACGAGUCGAGUUGUUUGGGAAUGCAGCUCUAAGUGGGUGGUAAAUUCCAUCUAAAGCUAAAUAUUGGCGAGAGACCGAUAGCGAACAAGUACAGUGAUGGAAAGAUGAAAAGAACUUUGAAAAGAGAGUGAAAAAGUACGUGAAAUUGUUGAAAGGGAAGGGCAUUUGAUCAGACAUGGCGUUUGCUUCGGCUUUCGCUGGGCCAGCAUCAGUUUUAGCGGUUGGAUAAAUCCUCGGGAAUGUGGCUCUGCUUCGGUAGAGUGUUAUAGCCCGUGGGAAUACAGCCAGCUGGGACUGAGGAUUGCGACUUUUGUCAAGGAUGCUGGCGUAAUGGUUAAAUGCCGCCCGU
rnacentral:rRNA from 1 species